rnacentral:rRNA from 1 species
AACGAACGCUGGCGGCAUGCCUAACACAUGCCAGUCGAACGAGACCUUCGGGUCUAGUGGCGCACGGGUGCGUAACGCGUGGGAACCUGCCCUUAGGUUCGGAAUAACUCCCCGAAAGGGGUGCUAAUACCGGAUAAUGUCUUCGGACCAAAGAUUUAUCGCCUUUGGAUGGGCCCGCGUUGGAUUAGCUAGUUGGUAGGGUAAAAGCCUACCAAGGCGACGUUCCAUAGCUGGUCUGAGAGGAUGAUCAGCCACACUGGGACUGAGACACGGCCCAGACUCCUACGGGAGGCAGCAGUGGGGAAUAUUGGACAAUGGGCGAAAGCCUGAUCCAGCAAUGCCGCGUGAGUGAUGAAGGCCUUAGGGUUGUAAAGCUCUUUUACCCGGGAUGAUAAUGACAGUACCGGGAGAAUAAGCUCCGGCUAACUCCGUG